AUACGAAAGGGGCUAGCGUUGUUCGGAAUUACUGGGCGUAAAGCGCACGUAGGCGGCAUUGUAAGUUGGGGGUGAAAUCCCGGAGCUCAACUCCGGAACUGCCUCCAAAACUACAAAGCUCGAGGAUGUGAGAGGAGAGUGGAAUUCCAAGUGUAGAGGUGAAAUUCGUAGAUAUUUGGAAGAACACCAGUGGCGAAGGCGACUCUCUGGCACAUUUCUGACGCUGAGGUGCGAAAGCGUGGGGAGCAGACAGGAUUAGAAACCCUAGUAGUCC
rnacentral:rRNA from 1 species